AACGCGAAGAACCUUACCAAGGCUUGACAUAUACGAGAACGCUGCAGAAAUGUAGAACUCUUUGGACACUCGUAAACAGGUGGUGCAUGGUUGUCGUCAGCUCGUGUCGUGAGAUGUUGGGUUAAGUCCCGCAACGAGCGCAACCCUCGUUCUAUGUUGCCAGCACGUAAUGGUGGGAACUCAUGGGAUACUGCCGGGGUCAACUCGGAGGAAGGUGGGGAUGACGUCAAAUCAUCAUGCCCCUUAUGUCUUGGGCUUCACGCAUGCUACAAUGGCCGGUACAAAGGGCUGCAAUACCGUAAGGUGGAGCGAAUCCCAAAAAGCCGGUCCCAGUUCGGAUUGAGGUCUGCAACUCGACCUCACGAAGUCGGAGUCGCUAGUAAUCGCAGAUCAGCAACGCUGCGGUGAAUACGUUCCCGGGUCUUGUACACACCGAAU
rnacentral:rRNA from 1 species